GCCGGUGUAGCUCAGUUGGUAGAGCAACUGAUUCGUAAUCAGUAGGUCGGUGGUUCGAGUCCACUCACCGGCA
rnacentral:tRNA from 1 species